ensembl:ncRNA mir-9382 mir-9382 stem loop
AUCACAGUGUGGCUGAGGGAUUCCACUUUCCUUAUAACUUUUGCCGAUCCCCGGCGCCACUGUGAUCGU